CUUCUAACCGCUAGAGGUCGGCGUUACCCAAUGAAUUUAAACUUGGGAGGAGUCGCUAGCCUCGGCGGUGUUUUACAGGUUUGCGGAUAGGCGAAGAAUUAGCAUUUUCAAGGAUUUGGACUGCAUUUCAGGGAGGGCGAAGGCUGUCAGUCAUCAUGUCCACUUCGAAAGCCUAUUUUAGUGAGCGAGCCAAUGCUACUUCGUGAUGAACCUGCAAGAGGUGCUUUUCUGAGACGUUUUGCUGGCGAGGUGGCUAACGUUAGCUAGCCUAAUAACAUCCGGCUUUACCUCUCAAUAAGAUGAUUAACGUUGGGUAGCUAGCCAACCUUUCCUACACGGUACUGUUUUUCAGUCACAGGCACCAACUGUCAUUUAACGUUAGACUAAUAACGUUAUUCAUCUAGCUACUAUACGUACUAUAUUGGUUUUCUAUCUAGCGCUAUCUAUUUUUCCAAAGCAAUGGCUGCAGACCUGCAAUCCAAAUACACCAAAUUGGCCCAGGAGUAUUCUAAGCUCCGGGCCCAGAACCAAGUCUUGAAGAAGGGCGUGGUAGAUGAGCAGGCUAGCUCCACCUCUCUGAAGGAGCAGAUGAAGCAGCGAGAGCAGAGCCUGAGGAAGGUGGAGCAGGAGAUGGACAGUCUCUCCUUCAGGAACCAGCAGCUGGCUAAGAGAGUAGAGCUGCUGCAGGAGGAACUGGCUACCAGCCAAGCCAAGGGCCAGAAGAGCAAGAACAAAGGGGACUCCCCCUCCCAGCAGGGCUUGCAGCAGACCCAGGUUGUGUUUGAUGAGGACCUGCAGAAGAAGAUCCAGGAGAACGAGAGGCUUCACAUCCAGUUCUAUGAGGCUGAUGAGCAGCACAGGCAGCAGGAGUCUCAGCUGAAGGUCCAGUUGGAGGAGCUGGAGAGAGACCACGAACAGCACCAGGCCAUAGUGGAUGGACUCACCUCCAAAUACAUGGACACUAUAGAGAGACUGCAGAGUGUCCAGGCCAGACUAGAGGUGAAAGCCCAGACUCUGGAGAGGGAAUCUAAUGAGUGCAGAGUUCAGACAGAGGAAUGUCAGCAGCAGUUGAGGAAGUGUCAGUCAGAGCUCAACAGACAGGUGAAACAGAGCAGUUGUGUCAUCCAGGAGAAAGUGCCCUUCAACGACACCAAAACCAGUGACUACAACAGCCUCAAUGUUCCACCACACAACAAAAGACACCAGUUGAAGGCCCGAGACGUGGCAGGUCAGGCCCUAGGCUUCGUCCAGGACAUAGUGGUGGCUCUGUUAAACUUCCACUCCUACACAGAGCAGAGGGUGCACAUCUACCCCCUGGAUUCCUCUAUCGAACCCAUCUCACCACUCAACCAAAAGUUCUCCCAGUAUCUACAUGAGAAUGCAGCCUAUGUGCGCCCCCUGGAGGAAGGACUAGUGCAACUACACCAGAGCAUCACAGAGGACACAGUAACAGUACUGGAGACUGUGGGGAAACUGAAGGACUUUGCUGAACAUUUCACAUCCUACACCCACUUUCUGCAGAAGAUUCUACCAUACCAGCUCAAAAGUCUGGAGGAAGAGUGCAGGGCUCCUUUGUGUACCUCCUCUCUCAUCUCUAAGAACCAGGAGCUGCAGAGUGGCAUGAAGAGAAUCACGUCAGUGUUCGACAAACUACACCGCUACAUCAUCCUACUGGCCUUACCUAGUGUUCGACAGGACGCCAUGCCCCAGAGCAGUUCCUCUGCUGUCUUCACCCAGCUGGCUGCCUGUCUACACAGUCUUCACGAUGCCAUCAAAGAGAUGUCUAAGCACUACAGCCAGAAGGCCGGUCUGGAACAGCAGUUGCCUACAGUCACUCAGAAGCUCUGCACCACUAACGAGUGUCUGCUGGCUUCCCUGGGCAUGCUCACCAACAGCACCGACAAGAUUGCGACGUUCUUCAGCAACAACCUGGAUUUCUUUACAUCUUCGACAGGCUAUGGUCCGAGAGGGGGGGUGGGGGUCCUCAACCCCCUGCAGGCAGAGAGCAUGCUGGGUAACAAGAAGAAGGCUUCUGACUACAUGCAGGCCAUCAGAAAGCCCAGAGCUGAGUCUGUUCCAUACAGAGAGGCCCUGUUGAACCGCCGUGUUCUAACCAGCUCUACAGAGAGCAGACAGGGACUCACACAACAGGUGGUGGCGAGCCAGGAGAAGAUCGCUCGUCUGGAGCAGGAGAAGGAGCACUGGCUGCUGGAGACCCAGCUGGGCAGGGUGAGGCUGGAAAAGGAGAGCCAACGCAUCCAGGACUUGGAGACACAGCUCUCCUCUGCCCUGGAGGGAGGAGGAGGCAGCCCAGCCUCAGCCCUCUCCCUGGGUCUGGGCAGCCCAGCCCUCACCAGCCUGGAUGAUGGCGAGCUGGAGGAGAGAGGAGUAGAGAAGGACGCUAUGAUAAACACCAGUCUGGUUGGCAUGUUGACCACAACUCCUACCAACGAGGAAGUGAGAGACGAGGAGUCCAGAGAACAGCUGAUUAAGACUCACUACAUGGCCAGAGUAGGAGAACUCACCACACAGCUACAGGUCUCUGACAGCAAGGCGGUUAACUUCCAUGCUGAGGUGAGACAUGACACACACGUGCAUAAGCACACACUUUUUAAGGAUAUGGACCUGUUAUUUUGUCGGACACAGGGGAGAUAUAUGGGGAACAAAGUUACACAUAGUCAAGCUCCAUUGAGAUGCGGCUCUACAGAAGACCAACUUACUAGUUGGAUCAGUCACUCAAACAUUUCCCCUCACGUCGUCCUUCCUUUAAUACAUACUUACUUUGACUCCAAGUAUUGUUUUGUUAAAAUAAAAAUAGUCUGUGUAGCUGCGCCAAAACUGUGGUAUUUGUCAUCCUAGAACUUAUCUAUUUUUUAAAAAAUAGUGAGCUUAAAUGUUUUCAGCUCAUUUAUUUCCAUGACUGAUCAAAUCUCAUUUUCUCAUGGCUCUUCUCUGUCCCUCUGCAGCCGACAUAUGGUGAGCAGUAUGUUUGGAACGUUGAAUCGCAAUAAAAUCACAGUAUCGAAUCACAAUACAUAUAGGAUCGACGCCUAAGUAUAGUGAUAAUAUCUUGUGAGUUCCCUGGUUAUUCCCAGCUCUACAUGAUAUACACUGAGUGUACAAAACAUUAACACCUGCUCUUUCCAUGACAGACUGACCAGGUGAAAGCUAUGAUCUCUUAUUGAUGUCACUUGUUAAAUCCACUUCAGUCAGUGUAGAUGAAGGGGAGGAGACAGGUUAAAGGAGGAUUGUUAAGCCUUGAGACAAAUGAGACAUGGAUUGUGUAUGUGUGCCAUUCAGAGGGUGAAUGCACAAGACAACGGAUUUAAGUGCCUUUGAAUGGGGUAGGUACCAGGCACACUGGUUUGUGUCAAGAACUAACGCUGCUGGGUUUUUCACGCUCAACAGUGUGUAUCAAGAAUGGUCCACCACCCAAAGGACAGAGUGUCUGACAGAGAGGGAACUGGCUUAGGAAGUGUUUCAAACAAAGUGUAUUUAAUGUAGCAGUCACUCCAGUUCAAACCCAGACAUGUCUGCCUAGAUCUAGUUUCAGUGAAGAGCAUCCCAUUUACUGACUCCAUUAGUUGAAGGAAGUGAUCGUCUGUGGAUAUCUGUUAAUUCUUCGUAUCUCCUGUGUUGUAACCCCCCCCCCCCCCCAGUGUCGAGCCCUGGCCAAGCGUCUGGCCUUGGCAGAGAAGUCACGGGAGACACUGACUGAGGAGGUCAAAUUGGCUAAUCAGAACAUCACACGUCUGCAGGAUGAGCUUGCCACGACCAAGAGGAGUUACAAGGAACAACUUAGUAUGAUGAGCGACCACCUGUGCAGCAUGAACGAGACUCUCAGCAAACAGAGAGAGGAGAUUGACAUACUCAAACUGAGCGGCAAGGGAAACUCCAAACUCCUAAAGAAGGGGCGGUAGGAAAUGAGUCCAUUGGGGAAACUGGUUCCAUUUUGGAUCCGCAGCGCACCCUUAACUGAGAGAAGGGCUGGACUAUGGAACCCCCACCCACUACAGCCCUGCCAGCUCCACACCACCAUACCACCAAGAUGGAGGACCCUGUUAGACUUCUCCAUCGGAGGGGGAGGGGGGGGGUCUCUGAUACCACUCUGCUUAAAGGAAUUGUCUUUCUGAUUGACACAGAUAAGGACUUUACGUGUCAAGUGCUUCCCAGUGUGUGGCGGAAGCAGCUGCUUGACCCUUUGCACUUUGGUUUGUGGGAGGAAGUGGAAAAUGUAAAGGAAAGAUUAUAUAUUUUUCAUUUUUCCUCCCCCCCCACCAACUAGUCAGGUCAUGGAUGCUGACUAAACAGAAUGAAGACCACCUGGCCCUGAUGGUUAGUGUGUCUCUUCUCUCUGUGCUAAAUGUGGAAAUGAUGGCGAUUUGACAUAUUCAUUAAUCAAUUAAUUGCUCUUAAGUGGGAGAAGGAUAUCAUGUGAGCAAGUCAAGUGUUAAAUUGUGUGCCUGACUGGCUGUCUGGGUUGUUGUCUUUGUCUAAUAGGGGGACUGUAGACUGUCAUGCCAGGCUUUGAGAGGGACUGCUAAUUGUUAUAACUUCAUUUUAUAUUUGGACUAUUUUUAGAUUCAAUGAAAGAUUAUUUGUGCAAAAUUGUGACUUUUGAGGGACUAUGUUCAUUAUAUUUACCACAUUUUACUUGAAGGGCUGCCCCAGAUGAAAUUAAUCAAUGAGUGACAUAUUAAUUUGACAUUAGCCUUGGAUGCCCAGGCUUCGCUCUUUAGCGGAGGCCUAAGACAGGCUAGACACACACUUCCAUACAUUCCCUUAAAGCUGGAUUCCUUGACGGUGAAUCAGCCACAUCUGUUUGCGAUAUUACAACAACAAAGAAGUUAGGAUUUCUCCUCACCUCCGGUUUGUUAACAAAACAAGAACUGCCGUGGGGUGGACAGUAGCGCUGUUUCCCCUACUGAGAAUUCCAUCUUUAUCUAGAUGUCCCAUCUGUCCUCGAGAACGGAUGGAAGAAUCUGACAGAAUGACAAUGACAUGGAAUAGAUCUGACCCGAUUACCCAAUCAAUUCUGACAUGAAAGAUCUGUUCGACACGUGACAUUUCUAUUUGAACUAAAUGAUCUGUGAUGUUGCACAAGGUAGAGUUCAUAGAAUGGUGUCUGUCUGAUGUGUCUCUAGCAGUUGUAACACGAAAGUGUGUAUGGAUGUGCACUGAGGAGAACUAUGCUUGUGUCCCAAAUGACAUCCUAUUCCCUACAUAGUGCACUACUUUUGACCAUUGCCUUACGGGCACUGGUCCAAUGUAAUGCACUAAGGAUUAAUGCGGUGCCAUUUGGGACACAGAAUGUCGCACCACAGUCUUCAAACCCAUGUAUCAUGUAUGGAGAGAAGGGUUAAUGUGAAUAUAAUACAUUAUUGUACCGUGUACUUUAACAGAAAUAUACAAAAAAAGAGGCAUUUGUUAAAGUUUUUCCAUGAUGACCCAAUGAAAUUACUAGUCAAUGAUCAAUGGAAAAGAGCAGAAACACAAACUAAACAAUCACUCACCUGCAUUUAAUACUUGAUUAUUGGGUCCCAGAGAACUGAAAAUAUUUGCCUAUUGGAAGGCAAUACACACACAAAGGUCUGCUCUUUUGAACCUUCUGUAAGACUCAUGGUUUGUGUACCCAUUACAAUUGUAUUAUCAGCAUGUUGGCAAAGCUAAAGUAGUCUACCCCUUGUCUGACAGUGUAGUGACUAAUCUAACAGUUCACAAUUAACAGCAUGGUUGUGUUCAUUAGGGCACACCAUAGCAAAACUUUUAACAAUAGAAAAUGAAAGUCCAGUUAGUACGUUGCUGUUUCACUCAGUUUUUGAACAUUUACUUCCAUUUUGUACCUCCUGAAAACAACCCUGGAUGCUUAUUGCUUGCGUGUUCCAGUGACAUUUAUAGUAUGGCCAAUAAAAUAUAUAAUCCUA